rnacentral:lncRNA from 1 species
CACAGUCCCCACUGUUCCAUAAGGUGUUUUUUUUAAUCUGUUUCUUAAAUCUAAUUGUACAUCUUGAGUCAGUUACUUGAUGUGGAAUAGAGUUCCAUGCAGUCAUGGCUCUAUGUAGUACUGUGUGCCUCCCAUAGUCUGUUCUGGACUUGGGGACUGUGAAGAUAACUCUUGUGGCAUGUCUUGUGGGGUAUACAUGGGUGUCCGAGCUGUGUGCCAGUAGUUUAGACAGACAACUCGGUGCAUUUAACAUGUCAAUACCUCUCAUAAAUAAUUGUAGUGAUGAAGUCAAUCUCUCCUCCACUUUCAGCCAGGAGAGAUUGCCAUGCAUAUUAUUAAUUUUAGCUCUCUGUGUCCAUGCUGCCCUGUUCUGAGAAAAUUGCAAUUUUCCUGAGUCCUUUUUUGUGGCACCUGACCACACGACUGAACAGUAGUCCAGGUGUGACAAAACUACGACCUGUAGGACCUGCCUUGUUGAUAGUGUUGUUAAGAAGGCAGAGCAUCGAUUUAUUAUAGACAGAGUUCUCCCCAUCUUAGCUACUACUGCAUCAAUAUGUUUUGACAAUGUCAGUUUACAAUCUAGUGUUACUCAUCUCAACUUGCUCAAUUUCCAUAUUCUUUAUUACAAGAUUUAUUUGAGGUUUAGGGUUUAGUGAGUGUUUUGUUCCAAAUACAAUGCUUUUAGUUUUAGAAAUAUUUAGGGCUAACUUAUUCCUUGCCACUCACUCUGAAACUAAAUGCAGCUCUUUGUUGAGUGUUGCAGUCCUUACAGUCACUGUAGUAGCUGACGUGUAUAGUGUUGAGUCAUCCGCAUACAUAGAAACUCUGGCUUUACUCAGUCAGUGGCAUGUUUUUAGUAAAAAUUGAAAAAAGCAAGGGGUCGAAACAGCUACCCUGUGGAAUUCCUGAUUCAAACUGGAUUAUAUUUAUAGGCUUCCAUUAAAGAACACCCUCUGUGUUCUGUUAGACUUGUAACUCUUUAUCCACAUUAUAGCAGGGGGUGUAAAACCAUAACACAUACGUUUUUCCAGCAGCAGACUAUGAUCAAUAAUGUCAAAAUCUGCACUGAAAUCUAACAAGACAGCCACCACAAUCAUUUUAUCAUACAUUUCUCUCAGCCAAUCAUCAGUCAUUUGUGUAAGUGCUGUGCUUGUUGAGUGUCCUUCCCUUCAUAAGCAUGAUGAAAUUCUGUUGUCAAUUUGUUUGCAGUAAAAGAGCAUUGUAUCUGUUCAAACACCAUUUUUUUCAGAAGUUAACUAAGGGUUGGUAACAGGCUGAUCGGUCGGCUAUUUGAGCCAGUAAAGGGGGCUUUAUUAUUCUUGGGUAGGAAUGACUUUAGCUUCCCUCCAGUGCUGAGGUCACACACUUUCUAGUAGGCUUAAAUUGAAUAUGUGGUAAAUAGGAGUGGCAAUAUCGUCUGCUAUUAUCCUCAGUAAUUUUCCAUCUAGAUUGUCAGACCCUCGUGGCUUGUCAUUGUUGAUAGACAACAAUAAUGUUUUCACCUCUUCCACACUGACUACGGAAUUCAAAAGUACAGUACUUGUCUUUCAUAAUUUGGUCCGAUAUACUUGGAUGUGUAGUGUCAGCAUUUGUUGCUGGCAUCUCAUCCCUAAGUUUGCUUAUCUUGCCAAUGAAAAAGUAAUUAAAUUAGUUUGCAAUGUCAGUGGGCUUUGUUAUGAAUGAACCGUCUGACUCAAUAAAUGAUGUAGAAGGGUUGGCUUUUUUCCCAAAAAUGUAACUUAAGGUGCCCCAAAGCUUUUUACUAUCAUUCUUUGAAUAAUUUAUCUUUGUUUCAUAGUGUAUUUUUUUAAUAUUUUUCUUUAGUUUAGUCACAUGAUCUCUUAAUUUGUACGUUUGCCAAUCAGUUGGGCUGCCAGACUUAAUUGCCAUAUCUUUUGCCUCAUCCCUCUCAACCAUACAAUUUUUCAAUUCCUCAUCAAUCCAAAGUGAUUUAACAGUUUUUACAGUCAUUUUCUUAAUGUGUUGGUGCUUAUUAGUAACUGGAAUAAGUAGUUUCAUAAGUGUGUCAAGUGCAGCAUCUGGUUGCUCCUCAUUACACACCACAGACCAGCAAAUGUUCUUUAUAUCAUCAACAUAUCAAUCACUACAAAUCUUCUUGUAUGACCUCUUAUACACUAUAUUAGGACCAGCCUUUGGAACUUUGGUUUUCUGAGAUAUGGCUAUUAUAUUGUGAUCAUUACAUCCUAUGGGUUUGGAUACUGCUUUAAAGCAAAUAUCUGCGUUAGUAAAAAUGUGAUCAAUACAUGUUGAUGAUUUAAUUCCUGUGCUUUUUGUAACUACCCUGGUAGGUUGACUGACAACCUGAUCCAGGUUGCAGGCACUGGUUACAGUGUGAAGUUUUUUCCUGAGUGGGCAGCUUGAUGAUAGUCAGUCAAUAUUUAAAUCACCCAGAAAAUAUACUUCUCUGUUGAUAUCACAUACAUUAUCAAGCAUUUCACACAUAUUAUCCAAAUACUGACUGUUAGCACUUGGUGGUCUAUAGCAGCUUCCCACAAGAAUGGGCUUUAGGUGAGGCAGAGUUUAAUGGCUGCGUUAGGAGAAAAAACUGAUCAAAAACUGAUCAAAAACUGAUCAUCAACUUUGAAGAUACUCCACAAUACUAACCCAACUGACAGAAGUAAUCCUGUACAGAAUACAAAUAUUCCAAAACAUGCAUCCUGUUUGCAGCAAGGCACUUAAGUAAUACUGCCAGAAAUGUGGCAAAUAAAUGCACUUUUUUCUGAAUACAAAGUGUUAUGUUUGGGGCAAAUCCUACAUGACACAUCACUGAGUAUCACUCAUCAUAUUUUCAAGCAUGGUGGAGGCUGCAUCAUGUUAUAAGUAUGCUUAUCAUCGGCAAGGACUAAAGAGUUUUUAUGAUAAAAAUAAAAGGAAUACAGCUAUAAGCACAGGCAAAAUCCUAGAUGAAAACCUGGUUCAGGCUGGCUGCUUACCAAGACGAAAUGGAAUGUUCCUGAGUGGCCUAGUUACAGUUUUUACUUAAAUUGUUUUGAAAAUCUAUGGCAAGACUUGAAAAUGGCUGUCUAGCAAUGAUCAACAAUCAACUUGAACUUUUAAAUGAAUAAUUGGCAAAUAUUGUACAAUCUAGAGUGCAAAGCUCUUAGAGACAUACCCAAAAAGAUUCACAGCUGUAAUUGUUGCCAAAACUGCUUCUUUAAAGUAUUGACUCAGGGUUGUGAAUACGUAUGUAAAUGAUAUACUAUAUUUCUGUAUUACAUUUUUUAUAAAUAUGCAAAAAAUUCUCAAAACAUGUUUUCACUUUGUCAUUAUGGGGUAUUAUGUGUAGAUGGGUGAGAAAAAAACAACAUUUCAUUCAUUUUAUAUUCAGGCUGUAGCACACACAACAAAAUGUGAAUAAGUUAAGGGGUAUGAAUACUUUCUGAAGGCACUGUAUGCCUCUCUUUUUUUUAAUAAGAGCCUGAUGCUCCAAAGGAGAAGGUCAGACCUGUGAAAAAUGGUAGGUAAUUCCAGUAUUAACACAGCAACAAUAUUAAUUAUUAUAAUUAUCACACAUUGACAGUGUCUAAAUAACAUCCUUACCUUUACUGAAUGCUGUUUAUGAACAGUCUGAAAUGUCUGAAGAUCGAGGAGUAGUCCUAUUUCUUUAGAGUGUGUUCUCUCCUGUCAAUGCAGAGGCUUCCAAAUCAGUCCCUGUAAUGAAAGGUAUUCAUGUAUUGUUUGGCAGCUGUAGAAAUUCCAGAAUGUCGUUGCAAAGCCAACUUGUUUGAUCAAUUCUAGACUGCCUUUUUGGAAUACUUUCAGGGUAGUGCAAUUUGAGUUGAAGUUUGUGCUUUAAUACAUUUUGCUCGCUAUAAAGCCAUGAAUCACUGUUUGGUUUAUUUUGCAGUUUCUGAAGUAAACCAACUCAUUGUAUUAUGUGCUCUUUUUUAACCUCAGUUGUCUCUUUGCAAUGACUGACAAACAUGCUUUUGUAUUGCCAAUCAUUUCCCUGUCUUAUCUUAAGCAGAACCUGAAUCUAAGGAAACUAAGGAAACCCCUGCCAGGAAAGGUAUAGUAGCUACUGCAUUGUCAUUCACAUUUCUUUCACUGUAAUAAAAUAAUGGGUUUAUAAUGUAAUCAAUUAUUGCUUUUAUUAAAUACAUAGUAAGGUUUAUUUGAUCUUGUUCACAUUCUCAACUAAAAGCUUAAUUGCAGUAUACAGACUAAAAUUAAAUUAAAAUAAGUAUAUGUCUAGAUUUAGGGAAAUAAAAGGUGAAUUGAAGGGUGCAUCGUUGGUCACUGAGCGGAGAGAGCACUGCGGUAGCUGCUCGGAGAGUGUGUCAGUCAGACAUGGACAAGUCGGGAGCCGCUGGACGUACUGUAUAUUUCACCAUCUCUGACGUCCUGCCCACCUUUCCGUACAGCAAACUCCAAUAACUUUGUGCAGCACCCACUUGGGUGAUGCUACUGCAGCCGGCAGGCGCUGAAAGCUCACCACACUUUAGUUUAAUGAGUAUUUUCCACUUUUACAAGACAGCCACCUGGAUUCUCAGUGCAUCGCGCAGACAGGAAUAAACCUCUCUCUGGGAAGAAGGGCAGGGGUGUAUGUUUCAUGAUUAACGACUCAUGGUGUAAUUGUAACAACAUACAGGAACUCAAGUCCUUUUGUUCACCUGACCUAGAAUUCCUCACAAUAAAAUGCCGACCGCAUUAUCUUCCAAGAGAACGAUCUUCGGUUAUUGUCACAGCCAUGUAUAUCCCCCCUCAAGGCGAUACCACAACGGCACUCAAGGAACUUCACUGGACUUUAUACAAACUGGAAACCAUAUAUCCUGAGUCUGAAUUAAUUGUAGCUGGGGAUUGUAACAAAGCAAAUUUGAGAAAAAAGCUACCUAAAUUCUAUCAGCAUAUCGACUGUAGCACUUGCGCUGAAAAAACUCAGAACUAUUGUUACUCUAACUCCUGCAAUGCAUACAAGGUCCUCCCCCACCCUCCUUUCGGCAAAUCUGACCACGACUCCAUUUUGCUCCUCCCUUCCUAUAGGCAGGAACUCAAACAGGAAGUACCCGUGCUAAGGACUAUUCAAUGGUCUGACCAAUCGGAAUCCACGCUUCAAGAUUGUUUUGAUCACGCAGACUGGGAUAUGUUCCAGGUAGCCUCAGAGAAUAAUAUUGACGUAUACGCUGAUACGCUGGGAGAGUUUAUAAGUGUAUAGGAGCUGUUGUACCCAGUGGGACUAUUAAAACCUACCCUAACCAAAAACCAUAGACAGAUGGCAGCAUUUGCGCAAAAUAAAAGUGCGUACCACCGCAUUUAACCAUGGCAAGGCGACUGGGAAUAUGGCAAAAUACAAACACAGUAGUCAUUCCCUCCGCAAGGCAAUCAAACAAGCUAAAUGUCAAUAUAGAGACAAAGUGGAGUCACAAUUAAAUGGCUCAGACACAAGACGUAUGUAGCAGCAUCUACCUACAAUCACAGACUACAAAAGGAAAACCAGCCAUGCUGUGGACACCGACGUCUUGCUUCCAGACAAACUAAACACCUUCUUUGCCUGUUUCGAGGAUAAUACAGUGCCAUUGACGCAGCCCUCUACCAAGGACUGUGGGCUCUCCUUCUUCAUGGCCAACGUGAGUAAGUCAUUUAAAUGUGUCAACCCUCGCAGGGCUGCCGGCCCAGACGUCAUCCCUAGCCUCGUCCUCAAGCUGGCUGGUGUGUUUAUUCAAUCUCUCCCAUAGCUCAACAUUCAACACUAUAGUACCCACUAAGCUCAUUAUUAAGCUCGAGGCCCUGGGUCUCAACCCCGCCCUGUGGAAUUGGGUCCUGGAUUUCCUGACGGGUCACCCCCAGGUGGUGAAGGUCGGAAACAACAUCUCCACUUCACUGAUCCUCAACACUGGGGCCCCACAAGGGUGCGUGCUCAGCCCCCUCCUGUACUCCCUGUUCUUCCAUGACUGGGUGGCCAUGCACGCCUCCAACUCAAUCAUCAAGUUUGCUGACAACACAACAAUGCUAGGCUUGAUUACCAACAACGAUGAGACAGCCUACAGGGAGGAGGUGAGGGCUCUUGGAGUGUGGUGUCAGGAAAAUAACCUCUCACUCAAUGUCAACAAAACAAAGGAGAUGAUCAUGGACUUCAGGAAACAGCAGAGGGAGCACCCCCCUAUCCACAUCGACGGGACAGAAUGUGGAAAGUUUUACGUUCCUCGGCGUACAUAUCACUGACAAACUGAAAUGGUCCACCCACACAGACAGUGUGGUGAAGACAGCGCAACAGCACGUCUUCAACCUCAGGAAGCUGAAGUAAUUUGGCUUGUCACCAAAAACCCUCACAAACAUUUACAGAUGCACAAUUGAGAGCAUCCUGUCGGGCUGUAUCUCUGCCUGGUACGGCCACUGCACCACCCACAACCACAGGACUCCCCAGAGGGUGGUGCGGUCUGCACAACGCAUCACUGGGGGCAAACUACCUGCCCUCCAGGACACCUACAGCACCCGAUGUCACAGGAAGGCCAAAAAGAUCAUCAAGGGCAACAACCACCCGAGCCAGUGCCUGUUCACCCAGCUACCAUCCACAAGGCGAGGUCAGUACAGGUGCAUCAAAGCUGGGACCGAUAGACUCAAGGCCAUCAGACUGUUAAACAGCCAUCACUAGCACAGAGAGGCUGCUGCCUACAUUCAGACUUGAAAUCAUUGGCCACUUUAAUAAAUGGAACACUAGUUACUUUAAUAAUGCCACUUUAAAAAUGUUUGUAGUUGUAGUGGUAUCACAAGAUAUCAUCACGUGACUCCAACUUUAAUAUGAUGGUUAUUAUAUCAAUAUUUGCGCAUAAAGACGUUUCCACUGCUAUUUCUCACAUAAUUCAUUUUACAUACUCAAAAAGAUCCCACCUUGUCUAACGUAUUUUGUUUUGUCGACAGUUUGCCAACCAAUUUUACCAACAAAUUUGCUGUUUACAUCAGCUCUGUCGUGACAUUUUGUACUUUGUACUUUACUAACAUAAAAAGGUUGGAUGGAAACCUGGUUAAUGGCACAAAAAUGUUUAGAAGAUUUUCAGAAACACAUAACAAUUGUUUUAUUGGUAUCCCUUUCUAAUAUAGAAAAAUCUGUUGAGAAGAAGCCUGCCAAAGAAGAGAAAGCAAAGGCAGAGCCUGUUAUAACAGACCCCUUCGCCACAGAAGAUGAGAUGCCCUACUUCCAGUGCUUUUUUGUGGAUGAAGAUGAGGCCCAGUAUCCCUUCUACCCUUUCUCACCUCUCCAGAUGUGAGAGCCCUGCCCAGUGAAGAGCACAGAGUCUAGAAAGAAAUGGGAUGAGAUGGGCGACACCUUUAGUGUGGAGUUAAUAAUAAAACAUUAAUAAAACCAAGCCAUGGAAUCCACUACUGCCAUGUUGCAGCCUAGCGUCCCGAGCUGGUCUUCAACAGAAACCUAGGACAGCAAAGCACUUUGAGUGAAUUCAUUGAGCUCUCAUGGAUAGCCAACAUCAUUCCUUUCCAAAUGUGUUCGUGUUAUAUUUUGUUUUUGAUAGCUGAUAUGGCAUGAGUUGAUCUAUAUCAGGAUAUCAGUAUUUUGAAUGAAUCAAUGCAUACUGUGUUUACAUCAGUUGCUGCAGGUGAGCCUUUUUUAGGGCCAUGUUAAUUUGCUUGAUUCAAUUCCCGCUUUGAUAGUUGUCAGUUUUCUCAAUUGAAUGGCACAUUUAAACAAACUGCAACACAGAUUGUACCGUUGGCUUUCAUACUUUUCAAAUUCUCAGCGCAGCUCAAGCAAUUAAUCUGUCUGUCGUCACAGUCAGUUGAAUGGGAGCUGCAUAUGGGAGCUGAGCAGUGUUGGUCUAGAAUUUGAGGGAAGAGCUCGGUUGGGCUGGACUACAAACUGCUGCUCUGUUGCUGUGGACUCUGAAUUACGCUUUAUUUACAUGAACAUGGGCUCUAUAUCAUUGCUAAGACAUCAGUGAGUCGUUCCAUCUCAAGAAGCACAAGAAAGAGGAUUUCGACACCCACCAUCUCAGAUUGUACUGAAAUUGUUUCUGUUAGGGAACAGAUAAGAUUAGCGUUCCUGCAACAAUAUUUUGCUGAAAUAUAAUUUGAUCUCUGGGAAAUUAAGCUAAUUGAUUCCACCCAAAUUGGCCAUUUUAUUCAAUUAAUAUAGACCCUAACCUCCAGGUUUGAUUUUUUUUAAAGAAUUCCUCCACCACUUCAUGUUAAAGGGACAGUUCACCUAAAUUAUGAAAUUACUUUUGCUUUCCUUACCUGUAAGCAGUCUUUGAAAAAAUUUAUUCAACAGUCCAUGAGUUGGUUUUGUUGUCCACUGAUUCAAAUGCAAACUUUUUAGCAUUUGUGACACAACUCCGAUGCAAGUCAAUGGUACCUGUAUUAGCAUUUUCAUGCUUCAUGUCCAAAUCAUUCUGAAGUAUCUAAAGCUGUAAUGUUACUAACAGAUGAUUUAGAUAUGAAGCUUGGAAAUGCUAAUAUAGGUACCAUUGACUUGCGUUGGAUUUGUGCCACAAAUGCUAAAAAGUUAGAAUUUCAAACACCGGCCAGAUAAACAAAACCGAAACAUGGGUUGCUGUCAUACCUUGUCCCUAAACUCUUUACAGGGUAAGGAAACCAAUAUGUAAUUUGGGUGAACAAUCCCUUUAACAAUGAGGGGGGAUUCUGAAAAAAAUAACUACAAGUAGGAACAGCACCAUCUAGUGGUCAGAACAUUGUAAUAUGAAGAUGUAGGAUGGGACAUUAACUAACUUAAAUUAUUAAUUUCUCUGAACAGGAAGAAAAAAACCACCAAAUUCACUGAGAAUACAUUACAUAGGAUGAAGAAACAAUACUCUGAGUCACAGCUCCAUACUAUUCGUCAGACAUAGAGAACUAAUACUGUAUACUCUUUAUUAGUGUGUGUGUGGUGUCUGUGGGUGGCUUUUGAUUCUUUCGAUUCCUCAUGUCUUACUCGUUGAUAGAAAAAAGUUUGGUCCAAAUCGGAUCUUAGGUAGUAUAAUUAUUGAAUAUUAUAUGAAUCAUAUAAUUUUCUUCUAUUCUUCUUCAUCAGUCUGCGUUUGUUAACUUUGAGGAAGCAUAAAGCUUUUCAUCAAAUUUGUAGGGACAUACUCACAUUAAAAGAAAUUCUGCUGGUGCCUCGAAGUCUGUGAAGUUGUUUCUGUAUUGUAUGUACUAUAUGUCUGGAAAGGAAUAACCAUAUCCUAUAUGUCCAUGAGAGCUCCCAGGUCCCAGAUUCUGAUCAACUAGAUAAAACACCCUCUGGCUGCACCACAGGUGACAAGUGGCAGAUUCAGUCAUGGUGUUCUGAAGUCUUAUCAACCAUCUAUACUUCUACAAAAUGCUCCUCGUUUUGAUAAGGGUGCUGAUUCUAAGCAUUCCAUUGUCUGAUCUUUCAGAAUGAGGUUGAAGAAUAAUUUUUAAUGGGUAACACGUCAGUUGGAAUGCACUUGUUGCAAUCAGGUGUCUUUGAAAUAUUUCAUUUUGUGUGAUAAUCCAUUUUGAACUCAUUUAAAGUUGGUGUUGUCCAUUUGUAUCAACAUAAGUUAGACAUAAUUUCUUGCACUGGAUUACACCAUCAAGGACCUUAAACUAACUGGAACAUGAGAGGAGAAUACAUAUAUUAAUGAUCAAAAUCAAUGUUUGUAUCUCGUAUCUAUUUAUUGAUAGACCAAAAGGAACAGCUGCAUAGCUCAUGAGUGUCACAGAGUAGUGUCCUUUUGGUAGGGUUUACACAACUGGCAAACUGGUUGAAAUAAGGUGUGGGAAAAAUAAACAAGUCCAGUUUACCAUUAUGUUAUGCGUAUAGUGACUUAUGAAUCACAUAUAAUCAAGUAAUAUAGUAAUAUAAACAAUAUAUUAUGAUAUUUAUAUAAUUAUAAUAUUAUCAACAAUAGUGGUAAUAAUAAUGCAUGUAUGACACUUGUAUUUAUUUUUGUGCUAUGUUAUGAACAGAUGUAUAACAUUUCAGAUUGAUUACUUUAUCAUCUCUGAAAGACAAGUUGGGAUAGCAGUCAACACAUAAACCUACUUCUACUUAAGUUAAAUUGCGUCUUGGCUAAUUUUAUGUUUUUAAUUAAAGUGACAACUUGAAUUUUGACAGUGAAGUACAUGUGUAGCCAAAUAUUGAUACUGUUCCAUCUUUUAGUUUUGGUACCUCUGCACAAAACAUGUAUUUGUUGCAGAAGAAUGUGAUACUUUGCUACAUGAAAUGCCUUUAAAUUCUCAUUUAGCCUGUACAAAAUGUUGAUAACACGUAUAUUUUUGUGGAGAGCAAAAGAUAAGACUGAUUGUGAAAUAGUGCAUUUAUGCUGAUUCCACUAAACAUGUUAAUGCUCCUAAUCUUUGUGUUAAAUGUUUUGACUGAACAGACUCCCAAAUGUAAUUUUUACUAGCAAAUACUACCUUAUUUGCUAUUCAAGGGCAUAUGAUUUUAUCUGUUCACUACCAAAGUAGUUAAUUAAUACAAUAUUUGCCACAAUACAUUUUGUAGCUAGCAUAGACUGCAAUGGUAGUGUUACUGGAGAAUACAAUUAGUAGAAUACAUAAUGGUGUCAUCUUGACAGUUAGGUUCUGUACUAUUAUUAGUAGUAACCAUUGUAAGCUUAUAACAUGUGCGGCCAUACAGAGACAGGAUGGUACUCUGAUGGCCCACCAACCUUUUUGAAGCAUUGUGCAUGAAGUAUUUUAAAUGUUCUCUGCUUUCAAGUGUUCAUUGUCUGGUGUUUAACAACAAUAUAUUGAUCUGCUGGAGCAUCAAUAUGACAGUGCCAGAUCUAUUUCAAUUGGAAUUAUGUGUAUGGCAUCAAUAAUUCAUUGUAAGUUGUAUUUGAGCUGACUGGUUCAGGAAUGUACAUUGUGUAAGGAAAUAAUAAGGCCACUGAUGCAAGGGAUAACGGGACAGAUUUGAUCAUAUCAAAUGCUGAAAAUGAUCUUAAACCUGAAUAGUUUGACGACAGAUUAACAAAUGUAUGUAUUGUCCUAUGCUUAACCUAACUAAUGCAACUUGUCAUACAUAUUGGAUUAGUAAACGUAACAGUUUAUGUGUGGUAUUCUUUCCUUUUCACCUUGUUCCUUGUGUGUUGAUGCCAGUAGUUAGCCUAGUGGUUAGAGCGUUGGGCCAGUAACCGGAAGGUCGUUCUGCCCCUGAGCAAAGGCGCCGAAGAUGUGGAUGUCGAUUUAGGCAGCCCCUCUCUGAUUCAGAGGGGUUGGGUUAAAUGCGAAAGACACAUUUCAGUUGAAUACAUUCAGUUGGACAACUGACUAGGUAUCCCUCUUUCCCUUUCCAGGUAGGCUAUUGAACCGUCCACAGUAUUUGACUUGUAAUACACACAUAUGAUCAGAUGAUGGCAUUAUAGAGUGGUCUAUUUUCUAACAUUUCAAAUAAACGUUUUUAUACUACACAUCUGUAUGCCUUUAAUAACAAAAUGAACCCAGAUCAUGAACUCUGGGAAAGACAAUUAGGUCAUUCAAUUAUUGAAUGUUGCUAUGUUCAGGGGUCAAGUGUGGUGGAAUAUUGAAAUGGUGUGAAAAAGAAUGAGAUGUUCAUCACUAUCAGUUAUAUUAAUAAUCUUGGAUGUAAUGUUGAUAGCAGUUCCCAUGCUUGUGAAAUGCCAGUGUCUUGAUUUUGUAAUAUGUCAGGUUUUACAACUCAUAAUAAAUUGUGUUGAUAUUGCCCAAGAUAUCUUUUUCAUUUCAA